rnacentral:lncRNA from 1 species
CUGACAGCUUCUGUUUAGAAUACGUUUGUUCACGUUGCAUUUGUGUUGAAUUUGUUUCUUCAUAGUUUUCUAGUAUUUUUUAUGAUAAAUUAUUUUAUUACGAAACCAGCACGAACAAGCUUUUCACCCCUUUUUGACAUUUAGCAAUGCCAAUGCAAUAUAUAUCUGGCCAAGUGAAAAUACUGAUUUUGAUUCGAGGAAAAGCACUUGUUCCGAUUAAUCGUCCCAUCAUUAUUAUUUACUGAGUGAAUCGAGGGAAAGAGCAGAGAAUAUUAUAAGGGAAAGAAAUAAGUUUUUCAUCUACGCAUUCAGGUAUUACUAUUAUAAAUUAUAAUAUUAAUAGUCAUUGAUGGAGAGGGGACACUUUUCUGGAAUAUACAAUUAUCAAUAUGAACGAACAAUAAGUUGUAUUAUUAAGAUGGCUCAAAAACGGAACAUUCAAUUUCCAAUCAAAUAUUCGAAGAACUCUUAAAAAAAUUCAUUCCUUUUCUGAUGCAAUUCAUCUUUCUUAUGUGCAUAGUGUGGAAAUCAAUUAUAACGUCGAUAUCAUUAUCCCUAAUAUAAUAAUAUUCAAACAAGUGAUUGAAUAUAUUUAAUUUAUUUGAAAGAAAGAGAUAGCCUUUGCCAAGUUGAUGAAGUUCCAAGAAGAAAUAAGGAAUAGCGACGAUUACUUGGGAGUUUAAUUGCCAAGAGGAUUUGCUCUAUAAAAAAGGAUAUCUGAAAUUGAAGCUUUUCAUCAUUCAUGAAAGAUAAUAUAUCCUCUAAUUUAUUUAAAAUUGACUUAACCAAUAUGGUUGGAUGGAGGAGCUUCUUUCCAAGAUUUUAAAAACUAAAGAGUAUUUAAAGUGGAAGAGACUUUACAAAGUUUUCCUUCUUGACAUUGGUGUUUGACUUCUUUGUUAUUAAUUUUGUUUCCUCUAUAUACUAAAGAAAAAGUAAGGUCGGAUUUAAUUACUAUAAUUAUAAAUCAUUCGGGAAUGACUCCAUUUUGAAUCUUUUUAAAACCUUCAUCCAGACUAUUGAAAUUAUCCUUCAUCAAAAAUUUUUGGUUCCGUUUAUUUUGAAGUACUGGACUCCUUUGAUGUCUUGAUGAAGAAGUACUAGAUAUUGAGCGACGAUUUAUUUUAUGUGAUAUAAAAAUGAAGGAUGGUUUGAAAAUAUGUGGGGAUAAGCAUCUUUUUUUUAAAUGUUUCGAGACAAAGCUCUUGUAUUUCUUUUCACCUUACUUCGAGUAUGCGAGUCUCGACUCUCUUUAAUAAAAUCUUCUUCAUUAAAAUGCUUAGAGCAAACGACGGAAUAUUUUGAUGACUUCUCACUUGAAAAUAAAUGUUAGUGACUGUCCUUCUCUUUAGCAGUCCUUGAUAAAUGUUGUGUACAACUUUGAAUUUGUAUAAGCAAAUUGUACCAGUCUUAAAAUUCAUUAAUUAAUUACGAGAUGGGUUACCAUAUUAAUUAUCAAUUAUUCAUUGAUACUAUCAUUUCAUUUUGGU